AGCGAACGCUGGCGGCAGGCCUAACACAUGCAAGUCGAGCGCCCAGCAAUGGGAGCGGCAGACGGGAGAGUAACACGUGGGAACGUACCCUUCAGUUCGGAACAACCCAGGGAAACUUGGGCUAAUACCGAAUACGUCCGUAAGGAGAAAGAUUUAUCGCCGAAAGAUCGGCCCGCGUCGGAUUAGCUAGUUGGUGGGUAACGGCCGUACCAAGGCGACGAUCCGUAGCUGGUCUGAGAGGANGAUCAGCCACACUGGGACUGAGACACGGUCCAGACACCUACGGGUGGCGAGCAGUUUCGAAUCAUUCACAAUGGGCGAAAGCCUGAUGGUGCGACGCCGCGUGAGGGAUGAAGGCC
rnacentral:rRNA from 1 species